rnacentral:lncRNA from 1 species
GACGAGUGGGAAAUGAAACACAGAUGGGUCAGAUGGGUAAGGAGAGGGGGAUUACAGGUCAGGCCAAAGAGUUGGAAUAAAUUAAGUGCUUAUGAGGUACAGAAUGGCACAUUGUUUAAGUGAAUGGACAGGGAAAAAACAUUCCAGCAUUGUUCAUCCGCUGAGGGAGCCCAACGCUCCUCUUCCCAGACGAGCCCAGGCCACAGAGCGCCUCCUCCUCGCCAGGAUGUUUGUGACCCACAGACUGAAAACGCGGCCAGGCGGUGCCCGAAACAUUCUCCCAGCCUCCAAAGAGGCCAGUUUGGCUUUAUUACACGGGAGAUGUAAUUUAUUGGGAGAAAUGUUUGGGUUCGUGUGUCGGAUGGUGGAGAGUCAGAUUUGGAGUUCCCUGGGGAUCUCCGAGGAGAAGAAGCAGAUGUUCACAAAGCAACUGACCAGGCCAGGUGUGUCCUUCAAGGCUACCUGCAUUCAACAGAGGCGACCACAGCCCAGACCCAUCCUUCUUGGGAGAAUUUCAAGAUGCUCCACAUAGUGGUGCCUAGCGCUCUGUGCACUCAGAGGCUAGAAGAAAAGAUACAGAGGUCCUCUUUCAAGGAGAGGCCCUGAUGUUUCUAUUCUUACAAGGAUUCUUUGGUAAUAAAUACAGUGAAAACACCGUCACCGUAGAGAUAAUACUUAAUGCUCAAGAGGUACGUAGCAGAGAUUGCAUUCCAAUCAAGGACUUCCGUAACCCUGUCUACCAAGCCAGUAUCACCUGUAGGCCAGUUCACCUUCAUCCAGUCACUUUACAGCACUUGAGUGUUUGCUGUCCGCUCAAUUAAAAUCCUACUCUGGUGGGAAAAACCAGAUUUCCAAAUGGGGACUUUAUUGAUUCAAUAAAAUUUAAGAAAUUCUGCUUAUGGAAAAACUCAUUAACCCAAACUAAUAAAUACGAGUUUACCCUG